UGGGGAAUUUUGGACAAUGGGGGAAACCCGUGAUCCAGCCCAUCCCGCCGUGUGCGAUGAAGGCCUUCGGGUUGUAAACACUUUUGGCAGGAAAGAAACGUCGCGGGUUAAUACCCCGCGAAACUGACGGUACCUGCAGAAUAAGCACCGGCUAACUACGUGCCAGCAGCCGCGGUAAUACGUAGGGUGCAAGCGUUAAUCGGAAUUACUGGGCGUAAAGCGUGCGCAGGCGGUUCGGAAAGAAAGAUGUGAAAUCCCCAGAGCUUAACUUUGGAACUGCAUUUUUAACUACCGGGCUAGAGUGUGUCAGAGGGAGGUGGAAUUCCGCGUGUAGCAGUGAAAUGCGUAGAUAUGCGGAGGAACACCGAUGGCGAAGGCAGCCUCCUGGGAUAACACUGACGCUCAUGCACGAAAGCGUGGGGAGCAAACAGGAUUAGAUACCCUGGUAGUCCACGCCCUAAACGAUGUCAACUAGCUGUUGGGGCUUCGGGCCUUGGUAGCGCAGCUAACGCGUGAAGUUGACCGCCUGGGGAGUACGGUCGCAAGAUU
rnacentral:rRNA from 1 species